UAAUUUUACGCAGCAUGUAGUCAACUACGUUCCGUCUCGUUCAAUCCGCGUGACCAUCACAUUUUAGCUGGUGGAUCGAUUUAUGGCGCUGUGGGAAUUUGGGACGUUUGUAAGAGUCAAGGUCCAGUCGAAUGCGUCCCCAUUGGUGUCGGUCAUUCGGAAAGUGUCACUUCGCUUAUUUGGAGCAAUUCAAAGGCUGGAGGAGAAUUCUUCUCCGCCUCUGGCGACGGCCAAGUUCUUUGGUGGGACAUGCGAAAAUUAAAUGCGCCAAUAGACGCACUUUUACUGGAACCUAGUUCAAUCCCUCGAUCGGAAAGCGCUUUAUCUGCUACUUGUCUCGAGUACGAUCCUUCUAUGCCAAACCGUGCCAAACAAAUUCCUAGUUGGCACACGUCAAGGUAUUGUGAUGAAUUGCAACAGAAGAGCCCGAACAACAGCGGAGAGGAUAAAUGGAUAAUGUGCCAAUACGAGGCACACUUGGGCCCAGUUCACGGUCUACAUCGACACCUACAUCUGCCCAAAAUCUUUUUGACCGUUUUGGAUUGGACCACGAAUGUUAGGACCGAGGACAUUCGCGAUUCGCCCAUUUUAACUUUAAAGUGUGUUC